rnacentral:tRNA from 1 species
GCGGUUGUAGCUCAGCUGGAUAGAGCAGUUCCCUCCUAAGGAAAAGGUCGUGCGUUCGAAUCGCACCAAUCGCA